rnacentral:rRNA from 1 species
CAGUAGCCGCGGUAAAACGUAGGGGGCAAGCGUUGUCCGGAAUUAUUGGGCGUAAAGCGCACGUAGGCGGACUUUUAAGUCAGGGGUGAAAUCCCGGGGCUCAACCCCGGAACUGCCUUUGAUACUGGAAGUCUUGAGUAUGGUAGAAGUGAGUGGAACUCCUAGUGUAGAGGUGGAAUUCGUAGAUAUUAGGAAGAACACCAGUGGCGAAGGCGGCUCACUGGUCCGGUACUGACGCUGAGGUGCGAAAGCGUGGGGAGCAAACAGGAUUAGAUACCCCCGUAGUCCCUGUCUCUUAUAC